UACGUAGGGUGCAAGCGUUAAUCGGAAUUACUGGGCGUAAAGCGCGCGUAGGUGGCUUGAUAAGUUGGAUGUGAAAUCCCCGGGCUCAACCUGGGAACUGCAUCCAAAACUGUCUGGCUAGAGUGUGGUAGAGGGUAGUGGAAUUUCCAGUGUAGCGGUGAAAUGCGUAGAUAUUGGAAGGAACACCAGUGGCGAAGGCGACUACCUGGACUAACACUGACACUGAGGUGCGAAAGCGUGGGGAGCAAACAGG
rnacentral:rRNA from 1 species